AAACCGGAGGAAGGUGGGGAGUGACGUCAAGUCUCAUGGCCUUUAUGACCAGGGCUACACACGUACUACAAUGGCCGGUACAAAGGGCAGCCACUUAGCGAUAAGGAGCCAAUCCCAUAAAGCCGGUCUCAGUCCGGAUUGGAGUCUGCAACUCGACUCCAUGAAGUUGGAAUCGCUAGUAAUCGCAGAUCAGCACGCUGCGGUGAAUACGUUCCCGGGCCUU
rnacentral:rRNA from 1 species